CAGUCACACAUUAGAUACCCCUGUAGUCCUAGCCGUAAACGAUACUCGCUAGGUGUCGGCCACGGUGCGACCGUUGUCGGUGCCGUAGGGAAGCCGUGAAGCGAGCCACCUGGGAAGUACGGCCGCAAGGCUGAAACUUAAAGGAAUUGGCGGGGGAGCACCACAACGGGUGGAGCUUGCGGUUUAAUUGGAUUCAACGCCGGAAAUCUUACCGGGACCGACAGCAACAUGAAGGCCAGGCUGAAGACUUUGCCGGAUUAGCUG
rnacentral:rRNA from 1 species